CUUCAUCUGGAUAUGGAUAUGCUAGCAUUGAAAAGCAGAGGCUGAGAUUGCCUGUGUACAAGUACAGAACAGCGAUUCUGUAUCUGGUGGAGACUCAUGCCACUACUGUUAUCGUUGGCGAGACCGGUAGCGGCAAAACCACACAGAUUCCUCAGUAUCUUAAGGAGGCAGGUUGGGCUGAUGGUGGGCGUGUCAUAGCUUGCACCCAACCAAGAAGAUUGGCAGUCCAGGCAGUUGCUUCAAGGGUGGCUGAAGAGAUGGGGGUCAAGCUUGGAGAGGAAGUUGGCUACACAAUUCGAUUUGAGGAUCUUGCAAAUUCAGGUGUCACAAUGA
rnacentral:misc_RNA from 1 species